CAAAUUCCUCUGUUUCCGCCCUACGGUUCAGCUCUAUCGUCGCUAGCGAUUUAAGAACAGUAGCCUCAUGCUCUUGCUCCUUCGGUGGGUUUUCCUUCCGCAGUUUAGGAGACACCUUCUUUUGGUGGCCGUAGUAGCCACAACCAAAACAAACAUUUGUUUGAUGCAUCAAUGUCAAAGGUGGUGCAGGCAGGUCUCCAAUCUUCAGAAGACUGUCUUGAGCUUUUUUCAACCAAUCGACAAAGCAAUGGACCAAUUUUUGAACUUUCCUCCUUGGAAGACCCCAAGCUUCUAACAAUACAGCUUCGUUUGUAUAGUUGUGUGGCUUAAUAGCUGACGGUCCGAUCCAGGCCCAACUCUUGUUACACUUGGAAUAGAUAGUGAGAACCUCCCAUGCCUUUGAUCCAAGAGGUGCUGUUGUUAAAGAAAGUAUUAAAAGAGCAUCUCGAACCAACUCUUGAAGUGACUCCUGCACUUUGAGAGUACAAGGAUCCCCGGGAUUUGAUCUGAUUUGCUCCACAAUUUCAGACAUGGUGAGAAAGUGAUAUCCACUAAUUCUUUUAGGAUUGCUUUCAGCAGGGUUGUUGCUUGAUGCUGAAGGAUCAACUUUUGCAUACAGUGUAAUCAUUGCGGUAAGAAUGGCGGAAAGGAAAUGUAUGAUGGAGAACGAGAACCCUGGGUGAGCAGUAGGGCAAUUCAAACCGAACUGCAGCUUCUGAAAUGGUUCAGAGGUCAGACUUUUCGUUUCUUGAACUGUACUGCUUGCAACCUUAGAUACGGAAGUGGAACCAAGCUCAGGUUUCACUUUCUUUAAACCACAUUUCUCCAAGGAAGAUUUAUACAGUUUCUUUCUCUUCAAAGAAGAAAUGGGCAGUUCAUUUUAUUCAAGCACCUUUUCAUCAUUGAUGCAAUGGUAAUCAACUUCAACUUGCCUACCCAUGUAUGCUCGUUCUGCCGUCUUUUUUCAGCUUCAAUAAGCUCGAUCUGUUCAUCCCGAAUUCGCCAACAACGUCAUAGUUUAUAGAUUCCAACGAUGGCCUCGUAGAAUCACCACCGACUUCCGUUCCGUCUUGGUCUCCCUUACUGUGACAGGCACCAUAUCUUGAUUGUGAUUGCAACUUAGUCUCAAGCAAACAAAAUUUAUCAUUUGACAACUGUAUCAGAAUUAUAGCUGCAUCAAUAUCUCUCUGGAUAA